GGCCUCAAGUGAUGCAGAAAUACCCAGGGAGGUCCAUGACCGCAAUGGGAUGUAUUCGUACUGUCUGAUGGGGCC
rnacentral:snoRNA from 1 species